rnacentral:lncRNA from 1 species
UUAUUCAUAACCGGCUUGUACCGGAUAGUUUAUGGUUUGUAUCUUGUAACUUUACAAUUAGCAGAAACAUUAUUGAUAUUUCCAAAUCCUCUCAUCGUCGAGCUGAAUUUCUGUUCAAUCUCAAGUUUACCAAAAUGGUAUCAGAGCAAAGAAACACCUGAUUUCACGCUCCGCUUCGUUCUGUUUCCGCUUGAUUCGAUCUUCAGUUUCAUUGAUCAAGCUUGGAUUUCGUUUUUCAGAUCAAAUCAUCUUCAUCGAGCCCUAAUCUCUUCGGGUAGAGUUUCAAUUUCUCUGGAUCGAGCUUGGAUUCUUCAGUUAUCAGCUUGAUUAUCAGAUUUGAGCUCUAUUUUUUUUUUUUCUUUUCGAGAUUGGAUUUCCUCGAUUGUUCUGAUUUGGUUAUGUGAAGCGAUUCGUUCGUCUUCAUUCUCUCUGAGUUAGAUUCUGGUGGAGGAGUACCAGUUUGUCAACAGAACUUGGAUUAUCACUUCACGAUCCUCAUCUAUCGCUUAUUCGAUAUCAAUGGUGAAACUGGAUUGCUAUUUUUAGUCUCGUACAGCUUCAUCGGAUUCGUUGAAGAUCUCUUCGCCAAAGGUUCGAGAUGAUCCGUUUGGUUCUUCCUCACCUCAUCAAAUUGCUUCUGAUUGUCCAGGCCAGAGUAAUUUUCGAGGUUCAACACCUGUAAUCACAUCUCCGAAGACUCGAGUGGAGCCUCACGGCUCAGUUUGCCGAGAAUUCAUGGUUCUCUCUCGGUUGUUCCACCGAUCAUAAUACAGCUGCUUCGAUGGUGAUUGCUCACACGGUUGGGAGUUACAUUGGUAAAGUAAGCUUGUAUUCUUGGAACUCGAUUUUUCUCCGGUUUUAGUCGAUUGUUCAACCUACAGAUGUCAAAUGGACAAAGCACUUUAUUGGACAUUAUUUUUUUAAGCCCAAAUUGUACCAAGUCCAAAUUGUUCAGACCAAAUUGCACCAUUCCAAAUGGACUUUCCGUAGAGCCCAAAUAGAUUUUCUGCUUUAACAUGCUAAAUCCAUAAAAACAUAAGGUUUAGACGUUUUUACAUAUUAAGGUUCAUAUGUUUUACACAUCCAAAGCAUUGAUAAGUUCAUACAUUAAGGUUCAUUCACCAAUACACAAUCCAAAGCAUAAUCCAAAGCAUAAGUAAAUACAUAAGAUAUGAGAAUAGCUUGUGAAGUUCUUAUGGUCCUCUUCUUCUUUAUCUUCUCAGCCUCUCGGUCUCCUAUCAUAAUGAAACACAUAAGUUAAUCAAGUUAUCAUCAC